rnacentral:lncRNA from 1 species
GAGGGACAAGAAGCUAUGGAGAACCUUCUUUGUGUCUCCAGCCAACAACAUCUGCUUCUAUGGGGAGUGUUCCUACUAUUGUUCCACUGAGCAUGCCCUGUGUGGGAAGCCUGACCAGAUAGAAGGAUCCCUGGCGGCAUUCCUUCCUGACCUUUCACUGGCCAAGAGGAAGACAUGGCGGAACCCCUGGCGUCGUUCCUACCACAAGCGAAAGAAGGCAGAGUGGGAAGUGGACCCCGAUUACUGUGAGGAGGUGAAGCAGACUCCACCCUACGACAGUGGUCACCGCAUCCUGGACAUCAUGGACAUGACUGUCUUUGACUUCCUCAUGGGUUUGGGAAGUACUCACACGAUGAGCUUUCCAUUCUAGCACCUCUUCACCAGUGCUGCAGGAUCAGGAGGUCCACCUACCUGCGGCUGCAGCUGCUGGCCAAAGAGGAGUACAAACUGAGCCUGCUGAUGGCCGAGUCCCUGCAGCAUGACAAGGUGGCACCCGUGCUCUACCAGCUGCACCUGGAGGCCCUGGACCGGCGGCUGCGCAUAGUGCUGCAGGCUGUGCGAGACUGUGUGGAGAAGGAUGGUGUGAGCAGUGUGGUGGAGGACGACCUAGCCACUGAGCACAGAGCCUCCACAGAGAGGUAGUGACCACGCUGCCCCGAGGAAGGAGGAGCACAGAGCCUAUCCACCUGUGAAU